rnacentral:rRNA from 1 species
CUCAAAUUUGAAAUCUGGCUCCUCCGGGGUCCGAGUUGUAAUUUGCAGAGGAUGCUUCGGGUGCGGUCCCCGUCUAAGUACCCUGGAAUGGGUCGUCAUAGAGGGUGAGAAUCCCGUCUGGGACGGGUGGCCGUGUCCGUGUGAAGCUCCUUCGACGAGUCGAGUUGUUUGGGAAUGCAGCUCUAAAUGGGUGGUAAAUUUCAUCUAAAGCUAAAUAUUGGCCGGAGACCGAUAGCGCACAAGUAGAGUGAUCGAAAGAUGAAAAGCACUUUGAAAAGAGAGUUAAACAGCACGUGAAAUUGUUGAAAGGGAAGCGCUUGCGACCAGACUCGCCCGCGGGGGUUCAGCCGGUACUCGUACCGGUGUACUCCCCCGUGGGCGGGCCAGCGUCGGUUUGGGCGGCCGGUCAAAGGCCUCCGGAAUGUAUCGCCCUUCGGGGCGUCUUAUAGCCGGGGGUGCAAUGCGGCCAGCCUGGACCGAGGAACGCGCUUCGGCUCGGACGCUGGCGUAAUGGUCGUAAGCGGCCCGUC